AUUGAACGCUGGCGGCAGGCUUAACACAUGCAAGUCGAGCGGAGCGAGGGUGCUUGCACCUUAGCUUAGCGGCGGACGGGUGAGUAAUGCUUAGGAAUCUGCCUAUUAGUGGGGGACGACAUUCCGAAAGGAAUGCUAAUACCGCAUACGCCCUACGGGGGAAAGCAGGGGAUCUUCGGACCUUGCGCUAAUAGACGAGCCUAAGUCGGAUUAGCUAGUUGGUGGGGUAAAGGCCUACCAAGGCGACGAUCUGUAGCGGGUCUGAGAGGAUGAUCCGCCACACUGGGACUGAGACACGGCCCAGACUCCUACGGGAGGCAGCAGUGGGGAAUAUUGGACAAUGGGCGGAAGCCUGAUCCAGCCAUGCCGCGUGUGUGAAGAAGGCCUUUUGGUUGUAAAGCACUUUAAGCGAGGAGGAGGCUACUGGUACUAAUACUACUGGAUAGUGGACGUUACUCGCAGAAUAAGCACCGGCUAACUCUGUGCCAGCCGCCGCCGUAAGAC
rnacentral:rRNA from 1 species